rnacentral:rRNA from 1 species
CCUACGGGCGGCAGCAGUGGGGAAUAUUGCACAAUGGGGGAAACCCUGAUGCAGCGACGCCGCGUGGGUGAAGAAGGAUUUCGUUUUGUAAAGCUCUUUUAGCAGGGAAGAAAAUGACGGUACCUGAGUAAGAAGCCCCGGCUAACUACGUGCCAGCAGCCGCGGUAAUACGGAGGGGGCAAGCGUUAUCCGGAUUUACUGGGUGUAAAGAGAGCGUAGGCGGGAGUGCAAGUCUGAUGUGAAAUCCGGGGGCUCAACCCCCGGACUGCAUUGGAAACUAUGAGGCUAGAGUGUAGGAGAGGUAGGUGGAAUUCUUGGUGUAGCGGUGAAAUGCGUAGAUAUUAGGAGGAAUACUAGUGGCGAAGGCGGCUUACUGGACUAUAACUGACGUUGAGGCACGAAAGCGUGGGGAGCAAACAGGAUUAGAUACCCCUGUAGUC